rnacentral:lncRNA from 1 species
CUCGCUCUCUUUCUCUCUCAUGCUUUCUCUCUCUAUGUCUGUCUGUCUGUCUGUCUGUCUGUCUGUCUGUCUGUCUCUCUCUCUCUCUCUCUCUCUCUCUCUCUCUCUCUCUCUCUCCUUUCUUCUAUAAAUGACCACCAUUCAUUCAUUCUUCCAUCUCUUUGUCAUUUUUACUCCAUUUUGCUGCGUGUUCAUUCAACAUUCAAUUUGUUUUAUUGCUAUGCACACAGAAGAAAAUAGUAAAUGGUAUGGCUACAUGAUUUUCAUUUUGAUGUAGUAUUUUUUUCUUCUGUUUAUUCCUACCACUUGGCGUUAUUGCUUUCAGUAGUCUAGACGCUGCAGUAUUUCAGUCGCCAACAGCAGAGGCGAAGAUGCUUGCCCACUUUGAGGAUAAGUCACUAAACUCAUCAGUUAAAUUAGUGCAGGCACACUGCGCUCAGCAAAGGAGGAUGUGACUUAUUUCUCGAAUUGAGUUAAUCCACCUUGACAUUUGGAGAUGCUUUAUCCAUCGACUGCUUUUCCUGUUCUGAAAAGAGGACAGAAAACCGAAGUUUGCUAUAUGUUCUCCCUCACUUCAAAGAAAUGUGGGAUUCAUCUGCGGUUGUGUAGGGUUUCUUAUCGGAUGAGUACAAGGUGUGUCACCUGUGGAAAAAAUAAAUAACUGAGGAUUUCCUUUAUGAAGAUGCCCACAGAACGUUUAUGUGUGUCCAUUGGAACGUUGCUGUUUGCCUUUUUGUCUUUCUCCACUGUUCGAGGUCACACCACCAGCCGACCGAGUAUGACCUCAGCGGAGGGCAGUGGGGCUGGGGUCAACGUGGGGGGUCUAAAAUCUGUCCUGGAGGACACCGUGUCCCCAGCCUUCGGUGCCACCAUCAUCAUCAUCAUCACUGUCAUUGUGUCCGGGAGCGCCUACCUCUGUUUCCUCAAGUACGUCUGUGCAGGCUGCUGCAAACCCACACAGGUGGCCCCGGUUACACACCUGGACCCAAACAAGACUGAAGAGCAGGUGUAGCGGAGUUCGUGUGAGUGUGUGUGCGUGAACGUGCACUGGAAACAGCUGUCUCUGUGUGUGUGUGUGUGUGUGUGUGUGUGUGUGUGUGUGUGUGUGUGUGUGUGUGUGUGUGUGUGUGUGUGUGUGUGUGUGUGUGUGUGCGUGUGUGCACAUCAUAAACAGACCUUCAUUCAAAACAGCUUUUUCCCAGCUAAUUAACACUUGAUGGAUUCCUGUGGUUAAUCUCUCAUGUUUAAUUACUGUGAACCAGAGUGACUCAUUGAAGAGCUGUGUGUUUAAUUACCGAGACUACCAGCGGUGGGGUGGGCCAACCACGAACACUUUCCAUGGAAGGGACUCGCAGAGAGAUGGAAGGAUGGAUGGAAUAUCAAAUGAAAAGCUGCAGCACUCUAACACACAGUGGGAAAACUAAGCCUGACAUUGAUUGGGUAAACGGCGUGUUAGCUUUUGUGUGUGUGUGUGUGUGUGUGUGUGUGUGUGUGUGUGUGUGUGUGUGUGUGUGUGUGUGUGUGUGUGUGUGUGUGUGUGUGUGUGUGUGUGUGUGUGUGUGUGUGUGUGUGUGUGUGUGUGUGUGUGUGUGUGUGUGUGUGUGUGUGUGUGUGUGUGUGUGUGUGUGUGUGUGUUUUAUUUGUGAAGGGGAGACUUGCCACUUGCUGCCGUGAAGAAGUGAGAACACACACCUCCGUGAAGAAGUGAGAACACACCUCUCUGGAUUCAGACCCUCUCUCUUUCUCCUCCAUUUUCCCUAUUUUCUCAUUUUUCCUCCAGAAGGGUGAGCGGAGUGUUUGCCGGGGUCUCAUGUUUAAAAACAUCCUCUUCCCCUCCUCCUCUCCUCCUCCUCUUCCCCUCCUCCUAUCCUCCUCUCCUCCUCCUCUUCUCUUCCCCUCCCCCCCUCCUCCUCCUCUUCUCAUCCUCUUCCCCUACUCCUCCUCCUCUCCUCAUCCUCUUCCACUCCACAUCUCCUUCUCUUCUUCUACUCCUCUUCUCCUUCUCCUCCUAUCCUCCUCUUCCCCUCCUCCUCUUCUCCUCCUCCUCUUCCCCUCCUCCUCUUCUCCUCCUCCUCUUCCCCCCCUCCUCCUCCUCCUCUCCUCCUCCUCUUCCCCUCCCCCUCCUCCUCCUCUUCCCCUCCCCCUCCUCCUCUCCUCCUCCUCUCCUCUUAUCCUCCUCCUCUUCCCCUCCCCCCUCCUCUCCUCCUCCUCUUCUCCUCCUACUCUCCUCCUCUUCCCCUCCUCCUCUCCUCCUCCUCCUCUUCCCCUCCUCCUCUUCCCCUCCUCUCUCCCUCCCUGCCUAGAGUGUCUCUUAUAAGAGUUCUGUGAUACUAAAUUACAUUUUCUCUGAGGUACAGAGGAUGUUCAAAGAAGCCCUGGUUUAUUUAACACCGCGACCAACAAUAUACAUUUUCAAUAAUGCAUAUAGUAUCAGAGCUUCAUGAAGAGGAAUGAAUGGUACUCCCCUCUAUUUCCUCCCAAACACAUAAAAGAUACUUUGUAUAAAACAAAUUAUUCUUAAUUACAGAGGUGUUUUCAUCUCUCUAUAGUGUUGUGUAUAAAUUGAGCUGUUGUAUGGUUUGCUGUAUUAUUUCACAAUGCCUGUUAUCCUAAAUGUGUUUUCAUCUAGCGUAGCAUCCCGUAUCAUCGGCAUAUUCAACAGUGUAUAAGAAACAUAUUACCUUCAACGUUGUUAUCUUGUGAUAAAGCCAUCAAUGUUUUGUGAUUAUUGGUGUCGUAAAAAUGUUAGCUAACCGGGUUAGCAAUUAGCAUGUUUGACAUUCAGUGGAAAUACUAUUAAUCAAAUUUCAAUCAAAUGUAUUUAUAAAGCCCUUUUUUUUUUUUACAUCAGCCGAUGUCACAAAGUGCUGUACAGAAUCUCAGCCUAAAACCCCAAAUAGCAAGCAAUGCAGAUGUAGAAGCACGGUAGCUAGGAAAAACUCCCUAAAAGGCCAGAACCUAGGAAGAAACCUAGAGAGGAACCAGGCUCUGAGGGUGGCCAGUCCUCUUCUGCCUGUGCCGGGUGGAGAUUAUAACAGAACAUGUUAUACAUGUUAACAAGAUGUUCAAACGUUCAUAGAUGACCAGCAGGGUCAGAUAAUAAUAAUCACAGUGGUUGUAGAGGGUGCAACAGGUCAGCACCUCAGGAGUAAAUGUCAGUUGGCUUUUCAUAGCCGAUCAUUCAGUUAGAGACAGCAGGUGCGGUAGAGAGAGUCCAAAACAGCAAGUUCGGGACAAGGUAGCCCGUCCGGUGAACAGGUCAGGAACAACAGUAGAAACUGGAGCAGCAGCAUGACCUGGUAGACUGGGGACAGCAAGGAGCAAUCAGGCCAGGUAGUCCUGAGGCAUGGUCCUAGGGCUCAGGUCCUCCGAGAGAGAGAGAGAGAAAGAGAGAGAGAGAAUUAGAUGGAGCGUACUUAAAUUCACACAGGACACCGGAUAUGACAUGAGAAAUACUCCAGAUAUAACAGACUGACCCUAGCCCUCCCACACAUAAAUUACUGCAGCAUAAAUACUGGAGGCUGAGACAGGAGGGAUCGGGAGACACUGUGGCCCUGUCCGACGAUACCCCCGGACAGGGCCAAACAGGCAGGAUAUAACCCCACCGACUUUGCCAAGGCACAGCCCCCACACCACUAGAGGGAUAUCUACUACUAUCAGCUUUGUGGUUUAGCAAAAAAAAACAUGUCCCGUAUUAUCGGCAUAUGGUUCCCAGUUAUUGAUGACUAUUUUUGGUUGUUGAUUUUGUUCAAAAAAAGAGACAUCAACUGUCACGUCCUGACCAUUGCAAGCUUUUAUUUUCUAUAGUAGAGUAGGUCAGGUCGUGACAGGGGGCUUUGUCUAGUUUAAAUUUUCUAUGUUGUGUGGUUCUAGUUUCUGUUUUUCUAUGUUUUUUUGGGGGAUGAUCUCCAAUUAGAGGCAGCUGGUCAUUCGUUGUCUCUAAUUGGGGAUCAUAUUUAAGUAGUUGUUUUUCCCACCUGGGUUUGUGGGAGAUUAUAUUUUGAGUUAGUGUAUGUUUCACCUCUUUGUCACGGUUAGUUGUUUUGUUUAUUCGUUUAUUUAUAUGUCUUGCAUAGUUUCACAGUUAUAAUAAAAUGUGGAACGAUA